CCGAGUGAGGGCCCUCUGGGUCCAACCUCCCACCCGUGUUUAACGAACCUGGUUGCUUCGGCGGGCCCGCCGUCCAGGCUGUCCGGGGGCUUCACUGCCCCCGGGCCCGCGCCCGCCGGAGACCCCAAUCGAACGCUGUCUGAAGUAUGCAGUCUGAGCUUUUAAGCAAAAUCAGUUA
rnacentral:misc_RNA from 1 species